rnacentral:rRNA from 1 species
UACGAAGGGGGCUAGCGUUGUUCGGAAUUACUGGGCGUAAAGCGCGCGCAGGCGGUCUUCCAAGUCAGUGGUGAAAGCCCGGAGCUCAACUCCGGAAUUGCCAUUGAAACUGUUGGACUUGAGGAUGAGAGAGGUGAGUGGAAUUCCCAGUGUAGAGGUGAAAUUCGUAGAUAUUCGGAAGAACACCAGUGGCGAAGGCGGCCAACUGGUCCGGCACUGACGCUGAGGUGCGAAAGCGUGGGGAGCAAACAGG